GCUGGGGACUGUCUAUGUAGCAGAGCAGAGAGCUAGAGAUUGGCAGAGAGAGAAACACAGAAAGAGAGAGUGAGAGAGAGUGAGAGAGAGAUAGAUAGAAAGAGUGAAAGCACAUGCACUCCCUAUAAUGGUCGGUUAAAAGUGGACACGUUCACCUUCGUCCUCACAAAAGUGAAUAUAAAGUCAUUUUAUUCAUCUCUACCUGGAUUAUUAUGUUUCUACUGUGUCAUUCUGAAGAGGUUUGUCUCCCGAACACGUGUUGAAGACUCAGAGACAUGUUGCUCAGGAGGGUUCCCUGCAACCACAGCCUGUCCUGAAUGUGUGCAGCAGCCAACUAUAUACUCCCACUGAGGAGACAAAGUGAGGGCUUGGCGAAUCCGGGCAGGCUGUGUGGGGGGGUGUCGAUGCCCACCCAUGCCCCUGGAGCCCGGUCACGUGGAGCCCCCCACGACCCAGAGAUGGACCUGGCCUGGCAGGAACUGAUGGCCAUCACAGAUCUUCAGGAGUUUGAGGUCCCCCAUGAUGGCCCAUAUGAAAGUAUUCAGUACCAUCCCACAGAGCCACCUAGAUCCCUGGGAAGUUAUAGCAUAGCUCAGUCUCACUCUCAUACACAGUCUCUCCCCUGUUGUGGUGAGACAAACCGUGAUGUUGCAUAUGAGGGAACCUACUCUGAUGUAAUGCCAGCCUGUCAGCAUCAGGCUACCAGUGAAUUAACUGAGGCACUGUACAGACAAUCUGGAACUCAUUCUGGAGCCCAGCUGAAUCCCAGAGUUCUGAACCCUCUGCCACCACCGCAGAUGAAUUUUCUAGAACAAAUGAGUCUGAUGAGUGUCAGUGGUGAGGGGUCUGCUGGAAAAGACAAUGCUGGCCUCUCUCAAGGUUCGAGUCGACACAUGCUAGGGACUGAUCACAGGCAGGGCAAACACCAACCAUGCACUGUGGAUGAUCUGGAGUCUGACUCGGGCCUAUCGCUGGGGUCUAGCCCACCGCUGGCCUCACCGGAUGAUGUCAUGACCGGCGUACCUGCUUGUUCAAGCACAGAGGUUGGUCUGAACUAUAUUCACAGGGGGAUGGAGAGUAUGGGUGAGCAAGGUAGGAGAGCUAGCCUCCUUUACUCCUUGGAUUAUCAGCAGCAUCCUACCCAGUCCUACCCCUACUCAGGGCCACACCCCUCUUACUUCCCUGUAACACAACCAUCCCAAAUGCAACCACAGCCUCACUUCCUGCCUCCCAUGUCAAUGAAACAUCAACAGGGUUUACCGGGUGCAUUGAAUGACUUGCACCUUAACAGCUCUGUCAGCAUAGGGAGCUCUUCUCAGGCGUUUUAUGUAAAACCCAGAGGCAACCCUCCUCCUGUCCCUCUGAGCCGGGACGAACGCAGAGCUCACGCCCUCAAGAUCCCUUUCCCUCUGGGGAAGAUCAUCAACCUACCUGUGGACAACUUCAACGAGCUCCUGACCAAGUACACGCUCACAGACUCCCAGCUCGCCCUCGUCAGAGACAUCCGCCGGCGGGGGAAGAACAAGGUGGCGGCUCAGAACUGCAGGAAGAGGAAGCUGGAGAAUAUAGUUUACCUGGAGGGAGAGCUGGGUCAACUGCAGGCUCAGAGGGAUCACCUGGCCAGAGAGAGAAUGGAGUUCCAACACAACCUGGCUAUUGUUAAACACCGCCUCACAGACUUGUAUGCGGAAGUGUUCUCUCAGCUCCGGGAUGAGGAUGGACAUCCCUACUCUAUAGAGGACAACUCUCUACAGCAGACCCCUGAUGGGAACGUAUACCUGGUGCCACGUACUGACGUGUUGGAUGGAGAAUAAUGUAAAGAUGAAAUCUAUUGGACAGCUAUUGUAUACUGCCUCACUGUUUAUAUACCAUUAUGAAAUGUUGAUACAUCUACAGUACAUUAAGUAUACUGAACAAAAAUAUAAAACGCAACAAUUUCAAAGAGUUUCACUUCAUAUAAGUUAAUUAAAAUAGAUCAAUUAGGCACUAAUCUAUGGAUUUCAUGACUGGGAAUAGAGAUAUGCAUCUGUAGGUCACAUACCUUUAUAAACAUUUUUUUUUAAUGGGCCUCAGGAUCUCACAGUAUCACUGUGCAUUCAAACUGCCAUUGCCAAAUGCAAUCGUGUUCAUUGUCCGUAGCUUAUGCCUGCCCAUACCAUAACCCCACUAUAGUGCACUCUUGACAUCAGCAAACCACUCGCUAACACACGGUGUCUGCGGUUGCGAGGCAGGUUGGGCAUACUGAGCUGUUUAAUCAGCUUCUUGAUAUGCCACACCUGAAUUGGAAGGAUCAUCUUGGCAAAGAGUAAUGCUCACUAACAGGGAUAAACAAAUGUGCACAAAAUGAGAACAUUUUUGUGCAUCUUAUUUCAGCUCAUGAAACCAACAUGUUAAUGUUGAGUGUAUGGCAGCUAAAAGUUUAUUAAGAUACUGUGCUCAUGUACAAGCGAGUCAAUAGUUAGUUACAAGUGAAGUAAUAUGGCUAUGCUUGUUCUGGAUACAUUUUAUUCAAUGUUGUAAGACCAGUGCCUUCAGAAAGUAUUUAUACCCCUUGACAUAAUCCAUAUUUAUUGAAAAUGAAAUUUUACAAGUAUUCACACCCAAAUCAAAAGCUGAUCUAAGUCAAAACUAAGCCACCCACAUUCAAUAUAGUCUUGGUAAGCAACUCGUGUAUAUUUGGCUGUGUUUCAGGUUAUUGUCCUGCUGAAAGGUGAUUUUGCCUCUUAUAGGGUCUGAUGGAAAGCAGACUGAACCAGAUUUCCUUUAGGCUUUUGCCUGUGCUCAAUUCCAUUGAACUAAAAAAAAAUACAAAAAAAAGUCCUUGCAGAUAACACCCAUAACAUGAUGCAGCCACAACUGUACUUAAUGUGUCAAAUUUGCCCAAAGCAUAACACUAUUCAGAGCAUAGUAAUAUCUUGCCAACUGGAUGCAUGGUUGGAAUAUUUGUUCUGUACAGGCAUCCUUUUCACACUCAUUUAGGUUAGCAUUGUAGAGUAUCAAUGUUGAUCCAGCCUCAGUGUCCUCCCAUCAGCCAUUAAACGGUUUUAAAGUCACCAUUGGCCACCAUCUCCAACAACAGCGUUUUGAAGGACACCUGUAUCUUUGUAGUGUAAUUAGUAAUGUCACCAUGUGCAAAGUGACAUUCAAUAACUCCCUGGUCUUGAUGUUAAGAAAUGCACUGCUCAACCUCAAAGAUAAUUGUAUGUGUGGGGUACAGAGAUGAGGUAGCCAUUCAUAUCAUACUUACUGCAGAGUCCAUGCAACUACCUAAGCAAAUUUACUCUGCAAAAUAGUCACUCCACAUUAGUGGUCGACAUCUUUACACAUUUCAAAAAACAAUUCCACUGACAUGGGGUAUUGGUGUAGGACAGUGACAAAGCUGCAAUUCAGUCCAUGAAAGUUCAGGCUGUAACACAAGGUCGAAAAACUCAAGGUGUGAAAACUUCUUGAAAGUUCCUUGUCAUGCAAUCAAGACAUACAUUUGGGGAAAUUAUAUUAUGUCCCUGCAUGAAUUGUAUUAGAGGAUGAAAAUUGUUUACCAUCUAUGCAGCUGUUUAAGCAUAGUAUUUAGCAAAUGACAAACCAAAAUAGAAGAUAUUUAUGUAAAAAUAUUUUAUUGAUAAACAGAUGUGGGUAAAAAAACAAGUUAAAUCCUGCACAGCAGUAACAAAAACCAUUGCAUUUCUCCAGGCACCCUAAAACAGAAGACAAAUCACAACAGCCUUAGAGAUGAGGCUUCAGAUAUUCUCCCACAAUAAAAAUUGUGAAUAUUUCCAGCCGUUAUUAAACAGUCACUUACCUUGUGCAAUGUUACAGUGUGCAACGCCAUCAAGCUUUCAGUAGCAGUCCUUCAGAGCAGAGUUAGUUUCCUAGGAAAUAUCAGAAGAAAAGGAGACUGAGACGAUACAACAUUGAAAGGCGUUAGUCUGUUACCAUUUCAUAGUUUGACUGCCAACAUAAGCAUGCAUUACAAGGAUUGUAGCAUAUCUUUACGAUUAGUGCCAAAGGUCAAUGCCCCUUGUAUUACCAGAUGAACAGGGGCCGGUGAUUUGUACUAAAACAUCUCUGCACAUCCAAAUAAACUGUACAUGGUCAUGAAUGCUAUACUAUUCAUGUCUACAUUAACUACAAGAGUUUGCGCGUACUAACUACAGAACAUGUUAUUUAAACUAACAGUAGUUGGAAAAAUCUCCUUACCCACAGACAGCAUUUAAGCCAUUUGGUAGCGGCUGCCUGCUAGUCUCAUGCCUUCUUGCUACUCACUCUCCCCUGCUUCACACUGCUCCUGUCAGGCGAUGGGCUGUUUACUAUGACUCGCCCUCAGCUCAGCUGGCUUCCAUGGCUGGCUAGCCUCAAGACUGCAUCAUGUAAGCUAGCCUUUGCUGGCAGGUGUGCUGUAUGACAGGCGAGUGAUCUAGCCAGCCAACUCAAAUCUCCGGUGCAGUUCUCAAAGAGAUCAUGAACUGUUGACUGAGUAUUAUACUACCAUAACUUAAUCCAUUGGGACCGUGUUCAGCAAUGACUUCAAAGCUAUGGUAUCACUUUGCCAAACCUUCCUUUGAGUGAUGUAGAAAAUAGCAUGUAUCCAGCACAUUCUGUAGUAUGUGCAUUGGAAGAGACUAAGGAUGUCCCACGCAAGAAAUAAAACAUGAGGCUAGGAAAGUCUCCAUUAACAAGUGGUACUUUUCUUCAAGAGUCAUUGACCUAAUCCAUCAGUCGUGUGCACCUGUAUUUGUUCUAAUGCAUUAAACACCCUCCCCCUCAUUCCCCUAAAAGACACUAACAAGACUGAACGACAGUUUAAAAAAAACGGAAAGGUGGUUUAUUUCAACUUGAUUGGUUGCAGUUACACAAAAAUAAAAACGACUCAAAGAAAAACUACAUAAAACCUCAUUGGAAUGCUUGCUUUCCAGAAACAUCAAAUAAUCCUGUUUGACAACACAGAAAAACAAAUGAAGCCCCUCCAUGAUUUCUCUAUUGUACACAUCUCUUCUUGUAGCAGAUGUAACCUGCCACAUCUGUUUGGCUGAGCAGAUCUAGGUUGUAAACCUGCAGCUGCCCUGUCACUUGUCUCGCUCUCCUCUCCUAAGUACUGAGUCCUGUUGAACAAUAUGGAACAACAUCAAGUUAAACUGUGUACUGACUGAUGGAAUGACCAGAACCUACUACAUGAGAUCCAGAGCCAGCAUUCUUAACACUUGGCUCAAGAGCUAAAAUCACAACUACAAGGACUCUAUGUAUCAAAGUGUAAAAGAAUGGAUCCCGUAGUUUCAGAACACUACAUAUUUAACAAAUUCUAGAAUAUGCGUAAAUCUCAUCUACACACGUUAUGUUUCAAACAGUCACAUUUAAAAACAUACCUUCUGAACAUUUAGAACCGUCGUCCACCGGAGCCCCCACCAUAUCCGCCACCGCCGCCACCCCCACCUGAGCUACCCCCAUAACCACCUGAAAAGAAACAUGCAAAAAGGUCAAAGGUUGAAUCAGAAAGAGCCUCCAGAAAGUACAAAUUAAGGUGUUAAUUUACAGUCAAAUGCUUUGACAAACGAACCGUUAGUGACAUACUAGAUUCUCAGACGAAGUGCCAAAACAACACGUCAGGCGAUCAACUGCUCAGCCAGUGCUAAGCAACCAGUAAACGUGUGCCACCUACCACCAUAUGGGCCACUGUUCCUGCCACCGCCGCUACCCCCGCCACUGCCACCACCGCCGCUGCCACCACCACCACCGCUGCCACCACCAAAGUUGUUACCCUUCAUCGGGCCGUAGUUGGAAGCCUGGUUGUUGUAGCUGCCAAAGUCAUUGUAGCCAUUUCCGCCACCAUUGCCACCGCCACCACCACCGCCGCCGAAGUUACCUGCACACAAUUUAAAAAGUCACUUAGUGAAGAUUAGUCUGGCCAUUUUACACAGGCUCAAGGAUAUUCCCAAUCAUUUGUGUACAGCUCGGAUAGAGUAUUUCAUGCAUCACUUUCAUCAAGUCAGCUAUGACCGAGUUCUCAUACUACUUCUUAUUUAGUAGGCCAUUUCGGUUUCUGGCCCAACACUCUUAACUGCUAGGCUACCUGCCUACGCCUCUAAGGUUUUGUAUGCGAAAUCUCAGGUUUAAUAUGGUAACAUUUUAUGCUUACUACAUGCCACUUAGAAGGGAAGUAUAGGUAGAUCAAUACUUUAACCAAACAGAAUGUAGUGUGAGAAUUUGAUCACAGCCUACGAAGCCAUCCACUUACCAGCAACUGGUGCUGCCUCUUGUGGUGAAGCCAUGGACUUACCGCCGCCAAAGUUCCCGCCGUUGCCAUUGCCAUUGUUGUAGUCGUUAUAACCAUUUCCGCCACCGUAGCCCCCACCCUGUCCUCCGCCAUAACCUCCUUGUCCUCCACCGUAGCCACGGUUACCACCACCAUAACCACCGGGUCCUCCUCCAUAGCCACCUAUAGAAAGUAAGGUUCUAGUCUAAAUACACUCCCAGCAACAAGCGUACAGACUGUAGAUAUACACGGAACCCUGUGGGUUUGAUUUCACUGAGGGGGGGGGGCAUCUGCUAAAUGACUAAAAUGUAAAUGGACCAGUCUGUUGCUGUGAGUCUCAUGUUAUAGCUCUUCCUGCUGUCAUUUGUCCUACAGAGAAAUCAAAUCUUACCAUCUCCUCCCCCAUAACCAUUGUUGUAACCACCAUCUCCACCUCCAUAUCCACCCCCUCUGCCUCCUGAAACAGACGAGUCAGCAUCACCUAAAGUAGAUUGAAACAAUCACAAGUGGUUAAGUAUACAGGUUCAAGCAGAGAUAUUGAGUGGUUCAGGACCACCACAUACCACGGCCACUGAAGUAUCCAUCACAGCCAAAGUCAUUACCUCCGUAUCCCCCACCUCUGCCAUAGUUGCCACCACCGCCGCCACCACCACCACCACGGCCUGGGAAGAAAAUUAUAAACCAUUAGUACCAGACCAACCUCAGAAAUAAUUAAAGAUUAAACCACUUGCCAUGAAGAAGUCAUGGACUUACCACCCCUCAUACCCAUUCCUGUAGUCUGCAUCUCCUGUCUGGACAAGGCUUUCCUCACUUCGCAAUUGUGACCGUUCAGUGUGUGGUACUUCUGAACUGGGGAUAUAAGAUGGACUUAAAAUUACAGCAGAACACAAAAGGCCAGUGAUUUUAAUUAUAAAGAAAGACAUUCAGACCACUACUUACUAACAAUCCUGUCCACUGCAUCAUGGUCAUCAAACGUGACAAAGGCAAAGCCCCUCUUCUUGCCACUGUUGCGGUCAGUCAUAAUGUCAAUUACUUCAAUCUUGCCAAAUUGCUCAAAGUAAUCUCGCAGGUGGGAGUCUUCUGUGUCUUCCUUGAUACCCCCAACAAAUAUUUUUUUCACUGUGACAUGAGCACCUGGUCGGCUGGAGUCCUCUCUGGACACCGCCCUCUUCGGCUCUACGAGCCUACCAUCAACCUUGUGGGGACGUGCUUCCAUGGCAGCGUCAACCUCAUUCACACCAGCAUAGGUGACAAAUCCAAACCCCCUGGAGCGCUUGUUGGCUGGAUCUCUCAUUACCUGUUGUUAAUAUAGAGAGUAAUGCAAAAAUAUUUAACUUACACCGAUGUUCAAUGUAAGUUAACCAAUCAAACCCAUUCCGUAAUACUGCAGCCAACUAGGUAUAAAGGUUUCAAAUGUGUACACAAACACUCACCACACAAUCUGUAAGAGAUCCCCAUUGUUCGAAGUGUGCUCGCAAACUCUCAUCCGUAGUUUCGAAGCUCAGACCUCCGAUGAACAGCUUGCGGAGCUGUUCGGGUUCACGUGGGGCCUGGACAUAAAGGGAGAAUGCAUUUAGAGCGAAAGAAGCAAAUGAGAGCGAGCGCUACAUUGUAGCGAACUAGGCCAAUCAUUUUGACAUAUUCCUGAAGUUACCCGAAACAAGUUGUGGAGAUCGAACAAUAACAUAUGAUGCCGUCAGCACGGUGUAGUAAAAGAAAGGCCUUGACCACGGGUGGUGGGGGUCGACUGCGACUCCAUAUUGUACAUUCGGCAAGUGUACACCAAACAAUAUUUUUUUUUAAACCGGGAAAUGUGAAAAAACGAUCGAUUAAUAUUAUAGCAAGUGUAGUGUAAAACACAAUGGAUACAUUUAACGUCCGCUUUAAAUGGCUAAACAAAAACGCAAUAACGAUCAACGCCAUGAGGCCUGUAGCUAAGAUGGCGGCAUCCCCACAAUUAUAGCUGCAAUAGACGCUCGUGAAGGGAAAGCCAUUUUGACUAGAUUGGUCAACGUGCACGAUAUAUUAAUACACUAAACGUAUAUAUCACAAAAUUGCAGGUAGAUAUUAAUUAGAAAAACUUACCUCCUUCGACAUUGUGGCUGGUAGUUUCCGAUCCCUUGUUCCUUAUUCGAGGACAGAAAUUCUGCGACAGAGAGACGACCGUGCCUGGAAAGAAAAUAGUAUAAUAAAUAGGGACGGAUACGCCUCUUGGAUUCAGCAAUUGGUUAGCUGUUCCCGCUGAAUUAUAUUGUUCCUCUUCCGCUGCUACUCCGAUUGGGUACUUCACAGUCAGUUAUCAGCAAUAUCCAAUAAUAAAACGACACCAGCCGGGGGUGGGAGUGAGUUUACGUUUUAUAUUGUUUUAAUGUGUACGUCAAAAUACGUCACUUCAAUGGAAUUGAAUUUGAUGUUCUGGCAAGUCUGUAUAAAUAAACGUAAUAUAGUAUUUGAUCAAGCUUGCCAAAUGAUCCUGAAAUGUCUGCAUAUUUAUUUAGUGGACAUCUCUAGCCAUAACAUUUACUUAUUAAAUUACAGUUAUUUAGUUUGACGCCGUCCUUUUCGUGGGCGUGCACGGUCUGCUAUUGUGCUUUUGGCGCGCAAGCAAGUCGUGUGGGGAGGGGGAACAAAAAGCCCAGAAAAAGCAUCCAGCCAACUGCUGAAGCUAACCGUGUGGUGGAAGAAAGCAAUUUGGGUUUCCAAUAAAUUCAUCCGAAUUACAAAAGUUCUCAAAAGUCGAGACGUGCCACUUAACUCACCCUAGGUACUCUAACCUAGCUAGCCAUGGGAAAGAAGACUCGUGAAAAUGAUGAUGGUGCCUCAGGCUCAUCUUCAGAAGAGGAAGAAUUCAUUGUGGAGAAGGUGCUGGACAGGAGGACGGUGAAGGGCCGAGUUGAAUUCUUCCUGAAGUGGAAAGGUUAUUCAGAGUAAGUCUGUUCCUCAUGUGAUUGUGAUGCAAUGUUACUUUGACAUGUUUUCAAUAUGAAUAUGCUUCCUGUAGCAGUAGCUAGCUCAUUUCUACCUUUAGCCAUCCAAAUAAAAUAAAAAUAUGUCAUGCCUUCCAGUAUGUUUCAAAACGAGAGUCUAAAAUGUUACAUGCGUCUUUUGCUGACUAAACUGAAGGAAAAUUCUGAUCAACUCCACCAACAGAGUUGAGCAGAGACCAGGCUCUGUGGAAUUCAGCCCAGACUACAUCGAUUCACCCAAGGUCAAUACUUUCAACAAUUUUUAAUUAUGAAAUGCCUACCAUGUACCUACGUUUGUUCUCUGUAGUUGUGCGCCUUUGUUAGCUGAAAACCAUACUUUUAAAAUAAUAUCUAAUCAAAUACAAACACUGACCGUUUCCUUGUUGAAAUUCAAUUGGCACAUGCACAUUUUCAUAGCGUUACCAUCCUAGAGCAACAGCAAUGAGUAAACAGUGGUUGUAUUUGAUGAACGUUUCAUGAAAAAUUGUGGACUUCAGCAAACAAAGGCAUGCAACUACAGAAGACAAACAUUGGUACAAGGUACACGUUUCAUGUUACCUAUUUUUUUUUGUGACCUUGGUUAAAUUAAGUUAUUCUGAGCUGAAUUCCUCAACGCCUGGUCUGUUUAACUCGUUGGUGGAGUUAAUCAGACACGUCACAGUUGAGUUUAGUCAGCUACUGUGUCUAAUGUUCAACUCUGACUCCUACACAUGAAGGGUAAACAUUCUUUGGAGACUCGUAAAAUGACCAAUGCAGUUGUUUUUUUUCUUCCUUCCAUAAUGUGGCUUAGUUAGUGGGCUUCGUGGCCAUUAGCUCAGCUGCCGACCUAACAUUUGAGGCCCUCCUUAUGGCUGCAGAGACUAUGUAGUUUAAUUUUUUAUUUAUUUACUGCAAUUCUAUACAUUUUGCCAUGGCUUAUGCUGAGUGACCCUAUGCCAUGACAAAAAUACUCCCGAAUGCAUAAUUUUUAGAUUCUCCCUGAUUGUCUUUAUUUUGGUAAUUGUUAGUUCUCAGAUCUUUAUUAAAAAAAUAGGGCCAUUCUUUUCAACAUGCUUUAGUUUUUCUUUGUUCACACUGAAUUGUUUAAACUGUUGGGACACUAGUGUGUAUACCUCCUGUCAAAUGUCAAGCUUGCUUUUACAAUGCAUGGUUCAUUGCAGAAAGCACAACACAUGGGAGCCAGAGAAGAAUCUUGGCUGCCCUGAGCUCAUUGCUGGGUUCAUGAAGACCUACAAGAAGCCUAGCAGUAGUGGUGCAACCCCCAGCAGUGGAGGAUCCAAGUCCAGUGCGGGAUCAUCAGGCCGUAGCAAGGAAGGCAGCAGCAAGAGGAGGAACUCUGAUGAUGAUGACGAUGAGGAGGGGAGCAGCAACAAGCCCAAGCGGAAAAAAGAGGAUGAAGUCCUGAUUGCGAGAGGCUUUGAGAGGGGUCUGGUACCGGAGAAGAUUAUUGGAGCCACAGACUCCUGUGGAGAUCUCAUGUUCCUCAUGAAGUGGAAGGACUCUGACGAGGCAGAUCUGGUGCUAGCCAAGGAGGCCAAUCACAAGUGCCCGCAGAUCGUCAUAGCCUUCUAUGAGGAGCGCCUCACCUGGCACGAAGAUGGGGACAAGAAAGAGAAGGGCGCUGUAAGCAUGUGAGCGGGAUGUCUUGCCACGGGAACGGUCACUGACCUCUUGCCCCCGACUCUGCAGGGACAUCCUGAGACUCGUAUAGCCAGCACCAAAUCACACCCUAUUCCUCCCCCUUGGCCUUAACCCUUUGAUGUUAACUUGUUUCAAUAGUCUGCGUAGGUAUAAUCAGUGGUGAUAAAUAUUCCACAGUAUUGAUCUGCAAACAUUGAAGGGUUAGGGCAAAAUAGAGGGUUGGGGAGGGAUUUGGUACCGACUGACAACCCCCACCCCAUUGGUAUUGACAUAACAAAAACCACACAAACCAACGAUGGAGAACACUGCCCACUUUCUCAUGAUACCUCCCUCCAUGCCCCAAUGUACAGGCUAAUAACCCUGAAUAACUAACAGUUCAACCUUGCCAUUUUACAUAGAAACUGAGAAGGAUGCAGGAAGAUUGUGGUGCGCUCGCUACUGGGAAGGGCUUGUUUUUUUGUUUCAACCUCAUGCUUUAUUCUUUCACUUUGUACUUUUUGUGCAGUAUUUUUUUUUUAUGGCAUAUAAUUGUGUCAGGAAGACCGUAGAUUCUGUGGUACCCUGUCUAGGUACAGGCAGCCAUAUUAAGGUGACUUGAAGGUAGUUGUCUUCACUGAGACGUUAAAAUGGCAUGGUCCAGGGACCUGUAUUCAGUGUCUGACUGCUGAUCCAGUAUCUGGUCCAUAUAUUAAUUGAUCUUACAGGGCAACUGAUCCUCGAUCAGACAAUCUGUGGAAACGUUGAAUGUGGGCAACGGCCAUGUUUGACACUGGGAAGCCGACAGCCUUGCAAGUCUUAAACCUUAGUUAGUUAUGCAGUAGAAACAAUAGAAUUGUAUUAUCCGAUUUCCCCGUGUUGGGCCACCUUGGUCAAAAAACAUCUUCUAGACUUUUUCUUCAGUAGUUUUAGUUCAACUUUGCUGUUCUAAGGUAAAUAUGGCCCCUUUAUAUAAAACUCCCAUGGUUUUUCUCUCAAAUUUGCUAGUAGUGUGGCUGGAUUGUACGUUUUGUUUUAAUCAUCGUCAUGUUAAUAUUUUAGCCCUUUUGUCUCAAUGUUUUAUUUUCUGUAGCUUUGCCCUGUCAACUAUGUAGCUUUGAUUCCAUUGCUGAGAUCAUGAAUAUAUUUUAGAGUAGCCGCUUAUUGCUAACUUGGAAUUUGAUUAUUUUGAUUACCUUUUAAUCAGUGUCCUCCCAUCAAGCACAAGUAAGAAAAUAUUACAGAUGAACUAGCCUCUGCUGAGUGCCCUAACAAUCAGCUGUAUCAUUUUUCAUGGAAAGGUCCUGUGAUCUGACUGGUGACACUCAAUCUUAACUCCACCUCCACAUUUAUUGGAUUGGUUGAACCGUGCAGAAAACCUCCCCCUGUCAGUUUCUUCCUCUGGUUAAGACCAGUAUGUCGGGGCUCUAGUUUCAGGCCAUUAUUUUAUGCCUGCUACAGAUGAACAGAAGGGUCACUUCAAAAGUUGUGCCCGGUGUUUCAAGCCAUUGUUUGCAAAUGUGAAUGACCACUUGAUUGUUGAGUAUAUACACAACAUUAUCACAGUAAUACUGAACUGUAACCAUUCCUAUGAUGAGAGGUUGGACAAUCCACGUGCUCUGCAGUAAUGUGAAACAAAACCAGCAUUGAUUUGAUCAAGGUACGCCACCCUGUGGCUAAAUUUCUCAGCCAAAGUGCUCUUGUCAGUGCGCUGUAUGGGAGACUGGAACAAGGCAGACAGUGUUAUUUCAUGGGAUUCUUGUUGCUUUAGUCUAAAAUUUUAAGAUCAUGUCAGUACUUUGCAUUAAAUGUUAAGUGUAUUUUUUUCCCACUUGCUAUCAUUAAGUUGAUUUUAAAGGGGUUGUAGAAAGAUUUGACCCCUUAGACCUUGUUUCCCAUAUCAACAUCCACAUAUGUAGUGACAAACUGUAAGGUCAUGUAGUCCCGUAAGAGGCAAAUAUCCCAGUUAAUUUGGUGUAGCCAAUAUAUUGCUGAGUUGAUGGACAGAGUCCUGUUCGUCGGCUGUUCUCUAGAUUUACUCGUACUCGAUUUGUUCCCCUCUCUUGCAGUGAAUUCGUAGUUUUUUGUGAAUUCUGAGUUGUCUAGCCACUGUAGUCAUAGAAACAACCGUUUUUUGUAAAUGACAUCCUUCCGUUGAGAAACAUCCCUAUUCUGGACACGUGUAACAGGGUUGUACAUGUUUCAUGUCAUUCGAUUUUUUUUUUUUUUUUUUGUGUCCCCUGAAUAAAAACCUGUAAACUUUUAUUUUCUCACACCACUCCUUUACUUUCAAAGAUUUCAUUUGAAGGCAUACAUUUUUUUUAAAUCAUGUUUUUAAAUGUGCAGCAUUUGUAUUUUACCUUUUUGUUUAUGCUCUGCAAAUUUGUUUUGUCUUGUAUUAAAUUGUAGUAAACUGUU